UACAGAGGUCUCAAGCGUUGUUCGGAUUCAUUGGGCGUAAAGGGUGCGUAGGCGGCGCGGUAAGUCGGGUGUGAAAUCUCGGGGCUUAACUCCGAAACUGCGUCCGAUACUCCCGAGCUGGAGGCAGGUAGGGGAGAUCGGAAUUCCUGGUGUAGCGGUGAAAUGCGCAGAUAUCAGGAGGAACACCGGUGGCGAAGGCGGAUCUCUGGGCCUUGCCUGACGCUGAGGCGCGAAAAGCUAGGGGGAGCGAACAGG
rnacentral:rRNA from 1 species